rnacentral:rRNA from 1 species
CAGUCGCCGCGGUAAUACGAAGGGGGCUAGCGUUGCUCGGAAUUACUGGGCGUAAAGGGCGCGUAGGCGGACAGUUAAGUUGGGGGUGAAAGCCCGGGGCUCAACCUCGGAAUUGCCUUCAAUACUGGCUGUCUUGAGUAUGAGAGAGGUGUGUGGAACUCCGAGUGUAGAGGUGAAAUUCGUAGAUAUUCGGAAGAACACCAGUGGCGAAGGCGACACACUGGCUCAUUACUGACGCUGAGGCGCGAAAGCGUGGGGAGCAAACAGGAUUAGAUACCCGUGUAGUCCCUGUCUCUUAUAC